GACAGUGUGGUGUAGUGGCUUGAGGAUUGGACUAUAAAUCUAGAGAUCAGGGUUCGAUUUCCCACUUUGCCA